rnacentral:rRNA from 1 species
AUGACGUGGACGGUGACGUGCACCUACUCGGAGCAGCUGGCGUCAAGGUACUCGACCUGCUGCGUCUCCUUCUCCUCCUUCUACAACAGCACCAUCGUGCCGUGCGCCCGGUGCGCGUGCGGGUGCACCCCCCAUAAAAGCACCAGCGGGCGCGGCGGCAAGAGCCACAGCGAUGGGUGCAUCGCUGGCGACUCCAAGCGCGCGUUGACCCCCGGCGUGAACAGGCCCAAGAAGGACGGCGCACAACUGCUGCAGUGCACCAACCACAUGUGGCCCAUCCACGCGCACUGGCACGUCAAGCUCAACUAUAAGGACUACUGGCACGCCAAGAUCGCCGUCACCAACUUCAACUACCGCAUGAACUACACACAGUGGACGCUCGUCGCGCGACACCCCAACCUCAACAACGUCACCAAGGUCUUCAGCUUCCAGUACAAGCCCCUCCUGCCCUACGGCAACAUCAACGACACCGCCAUGUUCUACGGCCUCAAGAUCUGCAACAACCUGCUCAUGGAGGCCGGCCCCUUCGGCAACGUGCAGUCGGAGUUGCUCAUCCGAAAGGACGAUGCCACCUUCACCCUAAGCCAAGGGUGGGCAUUCCCGCGCAAGAUCUACUUCAACGGCGAUGAGUGCAAGAUGCCGCCGCCGGACUCCUACCCUUACCUGCCCAACUCCGCUCCGCUGCGUUCUUCCAUCAUCACCGUUUCCUCGACGUGCUUGAUGUUGUUGCUGUUGCUACUGGCAUCAUGA